AGGAGUCAAAGGCAGGAAGACAAGCUUGCUGUGGGCUGGUUUACAAGUGGGAACACUGCCAGUCUAGCCAUCAGGACUGAAAGCUCAGUGGAACAAGCUUGAACUGACAGCUGGCUUUUAAAUAUCCACAGAACUUUCUGCAUGGUGUUGUGGCUGGCCCAGGCUUUGCAGAGACUGCUGCUGCUGCCCACAGUGGUGUCAACUAGAACUGAAAAUGGGAACCGCUCAUCCUUGCCUACUGUCUGUGUCUACCCAGUGUCUUUUCCUCCAGAGCAGGGGUUGCUGGAUAGAAUGCCAUAGAUGCGUCAAGAACAGCCUUCACUGUAAUCUCCACACUCUUAGACAGGGGUUCAUCUGAGCAGAGGACUAAAUCCUUUCUUGGCAUGUGGGCUAAAGUCUCUUGGCAAAGAAACGGAGGUCCCAGCUCAUCAGAAAUUCUAUCUUCGGCAGCCAUGAGCAGAUGGAUUGGAGUUUCUUGGGGUCGAGCAUUUGCACUUGUCCACCUCCACCUCCAAACUGGAUAUUUAUAGUAGAAAAACAAUCUGUUGGUUGGGAAGAGCAAGGAACCCUCAUGGCAGCAUGGGGUGGUGCAGAGAAAAUGUGGUGGGAGUUCUGAUCUUCUUGAACUUCUAUGUGCCCAAUGCUCAUUGUCUUUGACUUCACUACAAUGAAGCUUUGGAAUCUUUGGGGCAUUUUUUUCUUACCUUUUGAGAGUUCCAUUUUUAUAUUUGCAAAAUGACAGAUUAGAUAAGAUGAUCAGGUUUAUAGUGUUGGUGACAGGCAUAAAGUGACAUGGCCCCUGCUAAUAAAGAAAGAUAAGGCUAGAAACUCAGUAACAAGUCAGUAUUUCCCAUUACUAGUAUAUCUAGAAGCCGACAAGCUUGUGCUUAUUCAUCCCUACCUACAUGCCAGGGACUGAUAGCACAUGUUUGGGAUGUGAGAAGCCAGAAUUAGAGAUAUUAUCUCUGGCCCUAGACUAGAGCAAAACCAAUCAAAUCCUGCAGGCCAGAAUCUAGGAUUCAUCAAAAGGAUGCUUCAACCUACUAAACUCACAAAUUCUGGGUGGUACCAGGAAAAGAUUCUCUUUUUGGCUGCAAAAUCUUAAAGAUUAAACAAAAGUAAAGCAAUAUUCUAAAAUAUUAUCUCAUGACUUUUCCUUUAUAGGUAAUGCCUUUUUACCUACAACUCUUUCACCUUUGAAACUAGACCAUCAGGCUGAAGCUAAUUGCCCCAGGGCACCAUAGAACCUCUUGAGAACCAAGACUUAGAGUAUUGUUUUUGAGUUCUUGAAAGCCAAUAUUUGCUAUUGCAAGAGCUAGGACUCACUGUAGUUAUUGCUGCAUUGUUUUCGUUUUAAUAUCAAAACUUAGCUUUGACUGUGGCAAGAAAAGGCUGAAGGACUCAAGCAUAGAAUUUACACUACAAAUUAGAGGAAGAAGUUCCUAAGGAUGUAAAGACAGUUGCACCAUCACACAGAGAAGAGGUAGGACCUUUUCUAGACUUGAGAGAAAAUCCUGAAGAAGAUGGGAAGAUGACUACAAACAAGUUUCAGUGGGGGAAUUUGGACACAGAUGCAGACAUGACAGAGGGAAGAUGAUUUGAUGACAUGCAGGGAAAAGGCAGCCACAUGACUGGAGUGAUACCUCUACCAGCCAAGGAAUGACAAGAAUUGCAGAGAAACACCAGAAACCAGAAGAAGCAAGGGAGGAUUCUCCCUUAGAGACAUCAGAAAGAGCAUGGGCCUGCUGACACCCUGAUUCUGGACUUGGACUUCUGGCUUGCAGAACCGUGAGACAGUAAAUUACUGUUGUUUUUAGCCAUCCAGUUUUUGAUACUUUGUUAUGGCAACCCAAGGAAACUAAUAUAGGUGGCCUGCAAGGUUUGAAUGUGUGAUGUAUGAAAAGCAUCAACUACAUAACAGAUUCUAAAACACUGAAAAUUAUAACAAUAAAUACUCGCUAUUUGAUGCUUAAACCUCUUUAUGACUCUGGGCUCAAGGGCCUAGGAUCUUCUGGUUCAAAGAUAACCUUGGUUGGUACCAACAUUUUUACUCAUAAUAAUUGGCAUGUGAUAAUAAUAACAGGAAGUUCUCAAUAUUCUCCAGCCUACAGCCACAUUUUAAAAAAAGUUUGGUUUAAUUUAUUUUA
rnacentral:lncRNA from 10 species